ACGUACUACGUGUACGCUCCGGUUUUUGCGCGCUGUCCGUGUCCAAACUGACUGCGCCAAUAACGCCUGGUGGGAUAGGCUCUUAGUCAGAA
rnacentral:sRNA from 1 species